rnacentral:rRNA from 1 species
UACGGGGGGAGCAAGCGUUGUUCGGAUUUACUGGGCGUAAAGGGCGCGUAGGCGGCCAGCACAAGUCAGUUGUGAAAUCUCCGAGCUUAACUCGGAAAGGUCAACUGAUACUGUGCGGCUAGAGUGCGGAAGGGGCAACUGGAAUUCUUGGUGUAGCGGUGAAAUGCGCAGAUAUCAGGAGGAACACCAGCGGCGAAGGCGGUGCUCUGGGCCGGUACUGACACUGAGGAGCGAAAGCGUGGGUAGCAAACAGG